GAGCCAUUAUUUCGCAAACACAAACACGUGGGCAGUGUUCGUAAGUGUAUUAAGAAUGUUUUAAUGAUGACUGUGGGUCAGUGUUGACUUUGAACUCUGAUGCAAAAGAUGCCAUCUGUGCAGAAGCAUUUUCCUUUGGCCUUUGAACGCUCCAGAAUGUGUGCUUCUUUGUGGAGGGGCCACACUCCUGUUCCUGCUGAACUGAGCCAGUGAUUUACUACAACUGAUAUCAGCUCAGAAGGCACCGGAGCUCAGGUCCUGAUGAGACACACAACUCCAAACAGAUUAUCAGCUGACAUCAGAUGACCAGUCACAAAUCAGCAUGCCAAGAACCCACACAGCCACAACAAGCUGGAGACCCCCGUCAUCCCACCCAAACUCCUGCCUCUGCACGCUUGGCUUCACUUUAGCUUCUCCACUGUGAAAUCAGAACGGACUGCUCAACAGAGACCAACCAGAGAAGUGAAUCGUACAAUUCAGAGUGACUCCCCGCUGUUUUGCCUGACUGCCUUCAACAUCAUCCCUUCAUAGCCCUCAUUACAGCUUCAGCCCACUCCGGUUUCACAGAAACACUCCACCAUCCAGCAGUGUGAGUGUGUGUGUGUGUGUGCUGGAGGAAACUGGCGGUAAUCCUGUAAAAAGUUCUUUAACUCUGAGCCUUACUGUAAUCAAAUGCGGUCGUUAGAUGAGGGGCUCAUAAAGGAGAACAUGAGCUAUACUCAUCGCUGCUUUUUCCUGCCAGUCCCACCCUUUUGUCUGCUGGAUGCCAAAGCAUUACUGGGUUUUACUGCUGAAGGUUAUAGAGUUACAACCUUAAGCAAGAAUCUUUACUGUGCAUCUCAUCCUGCACCUUUUGUGCAGCAGAUUUAGUGGAAUACAUCAUGCUGCUUGACGAGAGGUCUUGCAUUUUUAAGUUAUGAAAUUGACAGUGGAUAAUAAACAUUGGUUUGUUUUGA
rnacentral:lncRNA from 1 species